AUUUCUCCUGUUCUUAAACUCUAGCUUUGUCUCUAUCCCAUCCCAAGAUCCCAACCAAGCCCAACCCCUGAUGAGGGCUUUCUACACUACCCUACCCGUGUUUGAAGUCUUGGCUAAAAGCUGAGGUUUUCCUGAUGAGGAGGAAGAGGUGGAGGAGAAUGGUAGCUGUAAUUUAUGAACACUCAUUAUGAACCAGAGUACAGUCCCUCUCCUAUAAGCAAGAAGCUCUCGUGUGCUAGUGUCAAAAGCCAAGGCAGACCGUCCUCCUGCCCUGCUGAAUGCAAUCCCUCAGGCUGCCCAAAACAUCUCUCCUGAACCAACAUCACUAAUGAAAGCAACCUGUCCUCCUGCCCCUCAGGUGUGGCAAGGCCAACAGAUCAGGAAAUGACUGCCAUGGAAAAGAGGAUUAUACUCACAGAUUCCAAGAGAAGGCGGCAUGCCAGAAUCUGGAACCGGAUCCUCUAAUGAUGUCAUAAGACCUGAGCUGUAUUCACCUAGGAAUCAUGUUGUA
rnacentral:lncRNA from 1 species